AGGACGAACAACCGCAGUGGCGGGGCAGCUCUGGAGCCCUGGAUUCAGCUCCGGCAGUAACUGCGGUGCUCUCUGUCCGCAGAGCCUGGAUGCUCCGGGGGCAG
rnacentral:pre_miRNA from 1 species